rnacentral:rRNA from 1 species
AUUGAACGCUGGCGGCAGGCCUAACACAUGCAAGUCGAGCGAGCGGCGGACGGGUGAGUAAUGUAUGGGGACUGCCCGAUAGAGGGGGAUAACUACUGGAAAAGGUGGCUAAUACCGCAUACUAUCGGAUAACCCAUAUGGGAUUAGCUAGUAGGUGGGGUAAAGGCUCACCUAGGCGACGAUCUCUAGCUGGUCUGAGAGGAUGAUCGGCCAAACUGGGACUGAGAAACGGCCCAGAAGCCUACGGAGGCAGCAGGGGGGAAUCUUGGACAAUGGGCGGAAGGCGUAAGGAGCCACGCCGCGUGGAUGAAGAAGGGCUUAGGGUUGUAAAAUUCUUUCAGCGGGGAGGCGUUACCCGCAGAAGAAGCACCGGCUAACUCCGUGCCAGCAGCCGCGGUAAUAC